rnacentral:lncRNA from 10 species
AUUCCGAUAGGCCAGAUAUUUGAUAUGUGCCCACUCUUGGGAAGAUAGAGGUGAUCUCUUAAUAAAGCCUGAAAUGCGGUCCUCCGAGGAGAGAAAGGUCUUGUUAUUAGACGGAAAAUUAGUAAUGGUUGAUAAUAAUAGUAAAUGACUACUUUAUGUCCCCUAAAAUGUUUUCCUCACUGUUAUGGGAUGAAUUGUAUUCCCCCAAAAUUCAUAUUAAAUCUCUAAGCCCCAGUACCUCAGAAUGUGACUAUAUUUGGAAAUAGGGUGUAUAAAGUGUAAUUAAGUUAAAACGAGGCUGAUUAGAGUGGGCCCUAAUCCAAUCUAAGGACAGCUGUCCUUAUAAGAAAAGAAAAUUUGAAUACACAAAGACAUGCAGGGGUUUUCUUACACAGAUGAAAAGUCAUGUGAAGACACAGUGAAAAGGCAGCCACCUGCAAGCAAAGAAAAGAGAAUUAAGGAGAAACCAAACCCAGUGACACCUUGAUCUUGGAUUUUCAGCCUCCAGAACUCUAUGCCUCCAAGAAAAAUGUACCAGCUUCUCUCAGAAUUUCAAAGGGAAGUUGAUGGUCAAUAAAGCAGGACAUGAUCGUGUAGGUUCUGAACACUAAUUUGGAGAUCUUAACUAACCACAGAUAUCUAGCUUAUGAAGUAGAUGGAGAAGGUGAGAUGGAAAUUUUAAAGGACUUUCAGAGUGCAUAGAAUUCCCAUGGUCUAAGAUGAGGAAUGCUUUUCUUCUACCUUAGGAGGGGAAAAUUGAUGUUAAAAAAUCACACUCAGAAUUUCACAUGUUUACCCUGGAGCUUCGGAUAGAGGUAACAUCUUAAGGAAUUGAUUUCUCAUUUGAGUCUGAGAAAGAAUAGUCCUGGAAUUGACUUAGAUGGUGCCCAUUAUAAUUUCUUGGAGGGAUGAAGCUGCCAUCAGCAGAAAGAAGCUAGAGGUGAACUGCCAAUGCAUAGAUGGCAAGAAAACUGCUUGAGCUACCAAUUGGAGGAGAUACAUUUACUUCAUAGUGAGAGGAAGAGAAGGAGGUUGAUAACGAAACCAUCAGCCAAAAUAGAGUAAACUUUCAACAUCUGCCAAACCCGAAGAAGUCAAUGCUUGAACACCCCAACAAAACCAUGAGGAAAAGAAAUUGAUUACCAAACCAGACUCAUAAGUUAAAAAACAAAACUGAUAAUGAAAGACCAUGAGAUACAUAAGGAAAAAAGGUCUUGUUCUGUCAGUCACCCAGGAUGGAAUGCAGUGGCACAAUCUCAGCUCACUGCAACCUCAACCUCAGCCUUCCUAGCUCAAGCGAUACCCCUACCUCAUCCUGCCAAGUAGUUGGAACUACAGUCAUACUCCACUGUGCCAGUAUAAUUUUUGUAGUUUCUGUAGAGAUGGGGUUUUGCUAUGUUUCCCAGGUUCCUUUCAAACUCCUGGGCUCAAGCAAUCCGCCUUCCUCGGCCUCGGGAUUACAAGCAUGAGUUACCGCACCCAGCCAAAACUCUUAAAUUGUGCACUCUAUGUAUGUAGAGCUUAUUGUAUGUCAAUUAUACCUCAUUGAAACAAUAAAAAGAAUUUGCUCUUUAAAAUUAUUCUAUUAUUUCCAUAUAAAUUUUGUAAAAGUAAAGGAUAGACAAAUGGUCAAUUCCACUACUCAUUUAGCAAAACAAUGUAACUCUAUUCCACAACCAUGUAUCAUUAUAAAAAUAUGAGCUCAUUUCAGUUGCGAAUAUAAUUGCAAAUAUUCCAAAACAAAAUACUAGCAUUUAGUUAUUAAAAAAUAAUAAAUGCCUUUUUAUCAAGUAGAAUUUAUUUCAGGAAUACCAGAAUGGUUUAGUAAAGCAAUAGUGUAAUAGAAGACAUUAGAAAAAAUGAAAUUUCUCUUAAUAUUCUUAAAAUAUUUUGUUAAAGAAAAUAAAUUCCAAUCAUAAACUAACAUUCAUUAAAACCAUUCACUUUUAAGUCCAGAACAAGAUAAAAAUACAUUGUUAGUUCACAUGAUUGAUUCUGUAAUUUAUUAGCACUACAAUAUUUAAGGAAAAAAGUAACACUCUUUAUGGUGAAUUAUUUACUUAAAAGGAAAUUAAUCCAAUUAAAAAUCAUUUGGAUUUUUUUGAAGUAAUAAAACAGUUGUUUUAUAAUAUAGUUUUAUACAAAUUAAAUGUGCCAAUAUUAAUAUUCAUGGUCUUUUACAUCUUGUCAUGAGAAAAACUAAUAUCAGACUAGCCCUCCCACCAUUGUCAUGAGAAAAACUAAUAUCAGACUAGCCCUCCCACCAUAAACAAACAACUAGAAAACUGAAUAAAAUAUAGGAAACAUUUAUUUUCAGAUACUGGAUAGCAGUAUAACUGUGGUUCCUAAGAAAGAAAACAAACAAAACAAAAUUAGCCUUUAUGAUAUUGGAGGCUUUGUAUCUGGAAGCCCUUUUUUGGUUUAUUGAGGUCUUUGUUUUGUUUGUUUCAUUGAAACUGAGUCUCACUUUGUCGCCCAGGCUGGAGAGCAGUGGCAUGAUCUCUGCUCACUGUAACCUCCGCCUCCCAGGUUUAAGCGUUUCUCUCGUACCUCAGCCACCCCAGUGGUGUACCACUGCUCUCAGCUAAUUUUUGUAUUUUUAGUAGAGACUGAGUUUCGACCUGUUGGCCAGGCUGGUCUCAAACUCCUGACCUCCAGCGAUCCACCUGCCUAGGCCUCCCAAAGUGCUGGAAUUACAGGCGUGAGCCAGCCACCACGCCCUGCUGGAAGCCCUUUUCAGAUACCGAUACAUUGAAGACAGAGAAAGCGACAGACAGUUGAGUUUGUGGGGAGUUGCUGAGGAUUCAGAGAGGGGAAAACUGAAGAGAGGAGGUUCAGAGAUCUGCAAGUGGUCCCUUUGUUGAUAAACAGGGAUUUCACUCACAAAAGGCACAUUUUAUUCAAGGUAAAUUGUAACACAAAUUUAAAACAACUUUCUUAUAUACCAAUGAAAAUCUGUUAGGAUAUUUAAUAGACAAUCAAUCAUAACAGAAAAAAAAUCAAAAUUCUAGGAGUCAAUUGUACCUGAGUAACAUAGAAUCUUUUUGAAGAAAUAUACUGUAUGUUUUUGUGGAAUAUGAAAGAUGAUGUGAAUAAAUGAAGUAAAUGGAAACACAUGCCAUGUUUGGUUUUUUUAUCCCAAUGUGUGAGGUCAAUAGAAGUGAUGUUAAAAUACAAUAUUUUGUUUCAUUUUAAUAAAAACUGAUUUCUAAAGUGAAAGAUGUCUUUUUUUCUUUCCAGGUUGUUUUUCAUAUUUAACCAAUGCCUUCCAAAGACAUAAUAGUUUUCGUCAAUAUACCUAACAGUUGUUCUUUGUAGAGUAUCUGUUUUUUUUUAACAAGAUAGAUACAAAUAUAUUAACCAACAAUUAUCCUAGAAUUUAAAAUACAAACUGAAAAGGCUAAGGCUUAGAAAUCACAAAAAUUUUGACAACUCAUGGAAAUUAUGAGUGUAUAUUUCAGUAAUUCUGGAGCUAAUAUAUGAUUUUAUACAUGAGUUUAAAAGAUGAUAAAGGAUCUUGAAACACAAAAUGAGAGACAUAGAAAAUUCCUCAUAAUAUACAAUUACUACUACUCCUACCUCCUUUCCUUAUUUGACAUCAAUUUCUUACCUAGAAACCAGUGAAGUCUGUUGGGUGAGCCUCUCACAUAUGUCCACAUCUUAAAAUUCAUCAAUCCAAUAAUAGCAGUCAACCUUGUAAAAUAGCUCUAGCUUCAUCACUCAAAUGUGUUUCUAAUUUGAAACUUCAAGCAGAGAAGAGAAAUAAUUUAUUGAUCUCUGGUCACAUAAGGC